CCUACGGGAGGCAGCAGUGGGGAAUAUUGCACAAUGGGGGAAACCCUGAUGCAGCGACGCCGCGUGAGUGAAGAAGUACUUCGGUAUGUAAAGCACUAUCAGCAGGGAAGAAAAUGACGGUACCUGAGUAAGAAGCCCCGGCUAACUACGUGCCAGCAGCCGCGGUAAUACGUAGGGGGCAAGCGUUAUCCGGAUUUACUGGGUGUAAAGGGAGCGUAGACGGCAGGGCAAGUCUGGAGUGAAAGGCGGGGGCUCAACCCCCGGACUGCUCUGGAAACUGUCCGGCUGGAGUGCAGGAGAGGUAAGUGGAAUUCCUAGUGUAGCGGUGAAAUGCGUAGAUAUUAGGAGGAACACCAGUGGCGAAGGCGGCUUACUGGACUGUAACUGACGUUGAGGCGCGAAAGCGUGGGGAGCAAACAGGAUUAGAUACCCGGGUAGUC
rnacentral:rRNA from 1 species